rnacentral:rRNA from 1 species
UUCCGGUUGAUCCUGCCGGACCUGACUGCUAUCGGAUUGAUACUAAGCCAUGCGAGUCAUUGUAGCAAUACAAGGCAUACGGCUCAGUAACGCGUAGUCAACCUAACCUAUGGACGGGAAUAACCUCGGGAAACUGAGAAUAAUGCCCGAUAGAACAUUAUGCCUGGAAUGGUUUAUGUUCCAAAUGAUUUAUCGCCGUAGGAUGGGACUGCGGCCUAUCAGUUUGUUGGUGAGGUAAUGGCCCACCAAGACUAUUACAGGUACGGGCUCUGAGAGGAGUAGCCCGGAGAUGGGUACUGAGACACGGACCCAGGCCCUAUGGGGCGCAGCAGGCGAGAAAACUUUGCAAUGUGCGAAAGCACGACAAGGUUAAUCCGAGUGGUUCCUGCUAAAGGAACCUUUUGUUAGUCCUAGAACCACUAACGAAUAAGGGGUGGGCAAGUUCUGGUGUCAGCCGCCGCGGUAAAACCAGCACCUCAAGUGGUCAGGAUGAUUAUUGGGCCUAAAGCAUCCGUAGCCGGCUCUGUAAGUUUUCGGUUAAAUCUGUACGCUUAACGUACAGGC